UUGGAAGUGGCUGGUUACCACAGCAAAGGGAAAGAGAGCUCUGCUGAGCAUUGCACAGAUAGUCAGAGCCUGGAAGUGACACAUGUCACUUUUGCUUACAACUCAUUGGCAGGGCUACUGGCACAUGAGCCUGCUGAUGGCCACAGAUGUACAGUCUUAUCAUGUGCCCAGAUUGGGGAGGGCUGGAAAUAUGUGGUCAGCAGCGCAGGUGGUUAUUACCCAUAAAUAAACAACUUCAGACACUCCUUCAAAGAACUACAGACCUCGGCAUCAUCGUUAUUCCAGCUACUAACAUGAAAAGGCAAAUUCAUAGGAAGCAAUAUCAUAAGAGAAUUCAGAAGUGUUUUCUUCCUCAUUUGCUUUCCUUCUUUAAAAGUCUCCUUUAAAUGGA
rnacentral:lncRNA from 1 species